UACGUAGGGUGCAAGCGUUGUCCGGAAUUAUUGGGCGUAAAGAGCUCGUAGGCGGUUUGUCACGUCGGAUGUGAAAACCCGAGGCUUAACCUCGGGCCUGCAUUCGAUACGGGCUGACUAGAGUUCGGUAGGGGAGACUGGAAUUCCUGGUGUAGCGGUGAAAUGCGCAGAUAUCAGGAGGAACACCGGUGGCGAAGGCAGGUCACUGGGCCGCAACUGACGCUGAGGAGCGAAAGCAUGGGGAGCGAACAGG
rnacentral:rRNA from 1 species